rnacentral:rRNA from 1 species
GAUGAACGCUGGCGGCGUGCCUAAUACAUGCAAGUCGAGCGAAGCGGGGACGGGUGAGUAACACGUGGAUAACCUCCUAUAAGACUGGGAUAACUUCGGGAACCGGGGCCAAACCCGAAACCUAUAGAUGGAUCCGCGUUGCAUUAGCUAGUUGGUUAGGUAACGGCUUACCAAGGCAACGAUGCAUAGCCGACCUGAGAGGGUGAUCGGCCACACUGGAACUGAGACACGGUCCAGACUCCUACGGGAGGCAGCAGUAGGGAAUCUUCCGCAAUGGGCGAAAGCCUGACGGAGCAACGCCGCGUGAGUGAUGAAGGUCUUCGGAUCGUAAAACUCUGUUAUUAGGGGAGCGGUACCUAAUCAGAAAGCCACGGCUAACUACGUGCCAGCAGCCGCGGUAAUAC